CUUGACCUCAAUUCAGGUAGGACUACCCGCUGAACUUAACCAUAUC
rnacentral:rRNA from 1 species